rnacentral:rRNA from 1 species
AUACGUAGGGUGCAAGCGUUAAUCGGAAUUACUGGGCGUAAAGCGUGCGCAGGCGGUUUUGUAAGACAGAGGUGAAAUCCCCGGGCUCAACCUGGGAACUGCCUUUGUGACUGCAAGGCUAGAGUACGGCAGAGGGGGAUGGAAUUCCGCGUGUAGCAGUGAAAUGCGUAGAUAUGCGGAGGAACACCGAUGGCGAAGGCAAUCCCCUGGGCCUGUACUGACGCUCAUGCACGAAAGCGGGGGGAGCAAACAGGAUUAGAUACCCUGGUAGUCCACGCCCUAAACGAUGUCAACUGGUUGUUGGGUCUUCAUUGACUCAGUAACGAAGCUAACGCGCGAAGUUGACCGCCUGGGGAGUACGGCCGCAAGGUUGAAACUCAAAGGAAUUGACGGGG